rnacentral:lncRNA from 1 species
UAUUUUCAUAGUCUCUUUUUGCUAAAUAACUACUAUGUGUCACAUAGGCAUGCCUUUUAAAGCUUUAUGAUGUGCUGGUAUUUAUUAUUCUCAUUUUCCAGAUAAGGAAACUGAAGUUCAGAAGGGUGCAAUAGCUACCCAGCUAUGGAAAAAAGGAUCAAGGACUUCUUGUGUCUUAAGGCAUUCAGUUCUCAAACUAAUAUGAGAGGGAGAUAGUAUUGUUAUUCUUUCCAUUGUUGAUUACUAUUUUGCCUAACACCCCUAUUUCCCUCUCUGCAGUGGCUCUCCCUGUGAGAGGAGUAUGCUUCUUGAUCACUGAAGGCUGACUAGGCGAUGCAGAAGGUGUUGAUUUCCAAGAAAGAUCUUGUUCUUCAAACUCUGUUACAGCAUCUUCUCUGGAGAAGUCAACAGUGAGAUGGGCUAAAUGAAGGAGGAGCAUCUUAUUGUCUCUGUUGGUUUUCUUUAUCUUCCUUCGAAGUAUCUG